GGAGAGUUGUCCGAGUGGUCGAAGGUGCAGCACUCGAAAUGCUGUGUACGUAAUGUACCUAGGGUUCGAAUCCCUAACUCUCCGCCA
rnacentral:tRNA from 4 species